AAUUCGUUGCUAUCCAUGUCGAUAGUCCUGAAAUCUUCGGAAGAAAUUGAGCAAUGUAAUUCAGGAGGAUAUUCUCUUGUCAAUACCAAAGGCCAAACGGAAGGGUUGGGUUCUAUAAGUUUCAGACCGCAUAGAGAUAAACGUGUCAGGUUCUUCAACCGUGCUAUGGAAGAAUAUGGUAAUUCUUCUAUGGCUGUGUUAUCUAUAAGAAGAGUUGUCAAUGAUACCAUCUCUCCUAUAUCCCCAACCAAGUUUUGAAAUCUUGAACAGCCAGAAAGAACAAGAGUUUCAACGUGUUUCAACUUAUAGAAACUCUUUGGAAGAUCCUUGAGCAUUAUGCAGUCUUUGAGAUUUACCAAGGCAAGUCUUUCAAGACAUCCUACGGAGUGGUGAAUCUCCAGCAAGCUCUUACAGCCCUUGAGUAUCAAAUACUCAAGAUUUCGCAGUUUUGAGAAGUUUGGCGAUUGUUUUAGGAAGUACGAAUGGCUGAAAUUCAGAAUCUUCAACUUCUCGAGCAACUGCAAGACAAACCCAAAAGAAAACAAAAUUCAAAAUAGAUAACUUGCUCGUCAUCUGUCAAAAAGUUUCUUUUUUUUCAUCUAUUAAAAGUUCAAUCUAAGCCACCUGAAAUCAAAAAGAAAAGAGGAAGAGUGGCUAGGUGUAAAAUUCAAAAUAGAUAUAAAAGAAUAAAAGAUCCUACUUAGAUAUUGAGGGUAUAAAUGUAAAUGCAGAUAUAAAAGAUCCUACUUAGAUAUUGGAUAGAUAUUGGAUAGUUAGUUCUGUUAUUUAGAAUGUAAUGGUGCUACUUUCAUUGGUUGUUAUACUUGUAUAUACAAGUUGUAACUUUAUUUAAAGAAUUAAUGAAAAGAUUAUUUCUCAAUAAAGGGAUCUUGCAUAGGUUUAUAAGAGAUUGGGUUACUCCCCAUAUUGCUAGUUGGUUUUAUGGUGGCACCACAACUUUCUUCAUGGAUAUAAACUCAAUAUUUACUAUUAUUAGGAAGCAGGGAAUAUUCGAAAUUAUUACAAUAGUUUAGGGGAGAAAGAGUAUUGAACGCGGGAUGCAUGGAUAUAAACUCAACACCCUUUCGACUAAAACAUUGGACCACAUGCAAUAUUUUCUAUUUUCUUUAGGAAGAAUAGCAUAAAUGUCUAUGUCAUAGGUAGGAAGGGGAUAUAGUUUUCAGUGUGUCAAAAAUACGGGACACACCAACUGUCAUAAUACAAUUAAUUGAAUUUUUUUUCAAAUUUCUAACCAAUUGUAUUACUUCCAACAAAUUGUAUUAUUACACUUAGUAUAUUGAGCCGCAUUUUCAGCACAUUAAAAAAUUUCUCUAGAAAGAGGACGCUCAUAAGAGCAUUGGAAUAUUCGUGAUGCCAAAUCCAUUGUGCUCUUUUGUAUUUUUGUAUUUUUUUGGGGUAAAAUUGGCAUCCAAUGUGUGUACUCUUUAAAUUGCUUUUUCUUCCAAUCUUUUUUCCUUUUCAUAGUAUUUUUAUUUAUUGAACAAAAAGCCUUUUAUUUGUAUUAUUAUUGUAUUCUUGAGCCACUUAUUUUUUCUUUCCAUGCUUUGCCAUAAACUGCCCUGCAUUGAGGAACUCUCUCUCUCUCUCUCUCUCUCUCUCUCUCUCUCUUUCCCCACACACACACAUGUUGUCUCAGUCUUUAGAAGAAUUUGUCAAUGAUAAGAAAGAAAUGCAUUAUAGAAAAGUUAACCUUUUUAAUAAUUUAGAUUUAACCUAGUUGUUAGAGUAAUGUUCUUCUUUAGGCAUUCAAGUUCAAAACCCUGCUGUGAAUUAUUAUUAUUUUUUUUAACAAACGAUGGUAAAAAACAAAAACUCUUUCUUUAUUAAGAAAACAAAUAUUAGUUGUUUACGCAAAAGUGCAUAAUAACAUUUUUAAAAUACCAAUAAUCAGGUUAAUUGAUAAUUUAGUUUAGAAUCAAACAAAAACAUUUUUUUAAAUGCCAAUAAUCAAGUUAAUCGAUAAUUUAGUUUAGAAUCAAACUGAAAGUCUAUGCAUGGUAAUUUAGUUUGACAUAAUAAUUUGGCAUCAAUCUCGCCAUUUACAAAAGUAAAACUUAUAAACUUUUACUUACAUGCAGAAAAAGUUACCUUUAAAUUGUAACACUAAGCAACAAACAUGAUCCUAAACUUGGUUAUGACCAAAUCAAUGUUCACCCACCCAUAAGUUUAAAACAUGAAGCCACACUAUGACUUAUUCCCUUUCAAGUUGGUGGAUGCAGCCAAACAAACUUUGGACUCUCUCUAUUGCAUCACCAAAUAUUUCUUACAAACCCCACCACUGAUUGUGGAAAGCAAAAUGUUUUGUAGACGAGAAAAACAGCUGUAAAAUACUACUACAACAAUAACAACAAAGUCUAUCGCAUUAAGCGACGUUGUCUAUAUGAAUUCAAGUCUUUCCUUAGCUCAGAAAAUCAUCUGUAAAAUAAAAACAUAAAAUUAAGUGGUAGUCCAAACUGUUCUCCAACUUGAAGUAUAAAGCUCCUCACUAUCCGCAUAGCUUCAUCGCUGUUUCCCUGCUCCAAUUGUUCAUCUGUACUCCUUUGAAUAGUGGGGUGAUCAUCAUACGUACCUCAAGUCCUCGGGUGAUCGAUCCUCAUCUCAUGGGGCAUGACUCGGUCCUGCCUCAUACUCCACAUCACUACGAAAAUAAGCAUAUGGGAUAGACUCGAACUCAAUCACAUUUUCGUUGAUCAACUCGGGAUCCCAUACGAGAUGUACCCCAGUUUUCUUCACCCUGAAACCAGAUCCCAUCACAAUAUAAACUUCAAUGGAGUCUCCCCUUUCCAAGCUGAGCUCCUUGUUUGAUAAAUGUCCUUGCCAAAUGACUUCAUUUGAAGUUAUUGUGUAGGGAUCCAUUGGCCGGACAACGAAGCUGAUGAUCUUGGUAUGAUUCGUAAUAAAUAUAGCAAAAUGAUUAAGAGGUGCGUCCUUGUGUAAUGAUGAAGAAUAAACGGUGCACACAGUCAACGAUUUUAAGUAAGAACCAGUGGUUUGAGGCACUUGGAAACAGACUCGAUCACCCUCAUUGUCGACAUUUGUGAACCACUUGGCAAUAUCAUUUCCAGGGGGGGAAAUGACACCAUCUUCGCUCGUUGUCUUGCUUAUGAUUCCUCGGAAGGAUAUAAAAUUCGUUGCUAUCCAUGUCGAUAGUCCUGAAAUCUUCGGAAGAAAUUGAGCAAUGUAAUUCAGGAGGAUAUUCUCUUGUCAAUACCAAAGGCCAAACGGAAGGGUUGGGUUCUAUAAGUUUCAGACCGCAUAGAGAUAAACGUGUCAGGUUCUUCAACCGUGCUAUGGAAGAAUAUGGUAAUUCUUCUAUGGCUGUGUUAUCUAUAAGAAGAGUUGUCAAUGAUACCAUCUCUCCUAUAUCCCCAACCAAGUUUUGAAAUCUUGAACAGCCAGAAAGAACAAGAGUUUCAACGUGUUUCAACUUAUAGAAACUCUUUGGAAGAUCCUUGAGCAUUAUGCAGUCUUUGAGAUUUACCAAGGCAAGUCUUUCAAGACAUCCUACGGAGUGGUGAAUCUCCAGCAAGCUCUUACAGCCCUUGAGUAUCAAAUACUCAAGAUUUGGCAGUUUUGAGAAGUUUGGCGAUUGUUUUAGGAAGUACGAAUGGCUGAGAUUCAGAAUCUUCAACUUCUCGAGCAACUGCAAGACAAACCCAAAAGAAAACAAAAUUCAAAAUAGAUAACUUGCUCGUCAUCUGUCAAAAAGUUUCUUUUUUUUCAUCUAUUAAAAGUUCAAUCUAAGCCACCUGAAAUCAAAAAGAAAAGAGGAAGAGUGGCUAGGUGUAAAAUUCGAAGGAACAAUCAAUGGCUUGGUUAAGGUUAUGAUAGUAUACCAUAGAAUGCUUCCAAAACUGUAUGAGAUUGCUAUACCGUAGGUCGAUAGAAACUAGGCUUCUUAAUUGAUUUAAUGCUUCUUUUGGUAUGAACUUUAGAGGGAAUCCUCGCCAGCAGAGCCAUCUUAACUUCGCGGAAAGAUGUUUGUAGUCUCCAGUGAGAUGUACACAAUUAAGUUGGAGCAAUCUUAGCCUCUUCAUCUUUCUAAACGCUUUCAUACUGAAACUAGUUUUGUCUGAUCUUAGCAAAUUUAGGGCGAGUCCUUCAAUAUCUUCCGUUCCCUAUGAACAAAAGUGAAUAACGAACAGGUUAGUGCAUGUAAAAAAAAUUGAUUUAUAUCCACACAUCUGCAGUUGUUGUUCUCUUGUAUUACAUGGAAUUAACAUUGAAUUAUUUUGAUUAGGAAGCUGAGUACUUACAGAUUUGUCUGUCAGUACACCUAUUGCGUCUUCUUGGCGCCACAAUCUACUACAAUUGCCAGGGUGGUUUGGAAAUUUUGCACGCACGAUUUCUCUGCCCAUGUCUCGAAGUAGAUCAUGCAUCACGAGCUUGUUUUUCUCAUCGACAGUUACAAGGCAUCGUUGAAGGAGGACACUAAUUCCGAUUUCUGCAAAAAACCCACAACCAUCCAAGAUCCUUGUGACAUAGUUCUUGUCCAUUCCUAUGAAGAAACAAGAUAUAUCAAGGAAUAUUUCCCUCUCAUCCUCAUCACUUAGAGCAUCAAAGCUUAUUUUAAGCUUUUCUUGAAUUUCGAAACGAGGAAUUUUUUCCAACUUCUUCAAUGUGCUUGUCCAAUCUCUUAUGCUUCUUUUAAACAGAAACGACCCUAAAACUUCAAGAGCAAGCGGCAAGCCUCCACAGUAACCAAGAACACUUCUUGUCAGUUCAACAUAUUCUUCAUUAGGACAACGAUUUCGGAAAGCAUGCCAACUAAAGAGCUCAAGAGCUUCUUCUUCCUUCAUUUUUCGAGCCAGAUAUAUUAUAUUAACUUCAACUUGCUCUAGUAGGUGUCGAUCUCUUGUUGUAAUAAAAAUUUUACUUCCUCGACCAAAGGAGUCACGGGCUACAGCUAAAGCAUUUAGUUGGUCCACAUGAUCUACAUCGUCAAUUAUGACCAGUACCGCCCUGCUUCGAAGUUUUUCUUUUAUCACAUUAAUACCUCUAUGAACAUCACCAACCUCCACCUUGGUUGGUUUGAAGAUAUCAGAAAGAAGCUUUUCUUGCAAAUUCGUCAUGCCAUUCGGUUCCUUUGCAGUUUCCCUAACAUUUGCAAGGAAACUUUUGUAAUGAAAGCUAUGGUAGAACUUGUUAUAGAUGGCUUUUGCAACUGAUGUUUUCCCCAUUCCGCCCAUACCCCAAAUUCCGACCAUUUGAACACCGUAUGAUCCCCCAUCUAAGCUGUUAAUCUCUUUCACCCGAGAAUCUAUUCCAACUUGGUAGACGGCUACACUUAAGUAUUUGCUAUCGAGUUGCUUAGUGAUUUCGCCAAUAAUUUUUCUGAUAAGCUCUGCCUCAUUCCUGUCAAUUAGAUUUAAAAGCGCAACUGAGACUUGCUAUGCAGUACACAUUCUGGCUACAGAUUGCUUAGAGAAAAACAAGAUUUUAGUAAAGGUAGCACCUCGAUCGCUUGAUUCUUAGGAUUAGACUGGAUUGGAUAACUUGUAAAGUUCAAGGUAUACUGAAACUAGAGGCGAAUGGUUUUAUAAAUCAAAAUGAUGGAUCUUGAACUAAGGAAUCAAAUUUUAUAUAAAGUUUUAUUAUCUGGCAGUAAAAGAAGAUUGAUAAGCUAAGAAUUAUUACCCAUUUGCAGUGUUUAUGAGAUCCCAACCGGACAAAUUUGAAGCUUCCGUAAGAGCAGCUCUCCACCUCGCUACCUUAUCGGUAUCUUGAUGAAAGCUUUCUUCGUGUUUCUGAAAUGCUUGUGCAAAACUACCACUAGUCUGUUUCCUGACAUGUGAAGGAUCGACAUCGUAGAAUACUGGCAAGACUAUUUGUCCAAGUCUUCUCCUACAGUCCAUGAUCUCCACAAGCUCCUGAAGACACCAGCUUGAAUCUGCAUAUCUCUUUGAGAAGACGAUGACAGAAAUCCUAGACCCUCGGAUUGCCUGAACCAGUUCGGUUGUUAUUUCUUCCCCUCUUCUUAGCUGGUUGUCAAUGAAAGCGUCGACUCCAGCCUCUUUCAGUGUCAUGUAGAGGUGGCCUGUGAAACCGUUGCGUGUGUCGUCGCCUCUGAAGCUCAAGAACACGUCGUGCGUCCAACGUUUCGAUGAGGAGGAUGCUUCAUGCUGUGUCCUGGUACUCAUUGUUAUGGGAGAGCUGCAAAAUCUCAAUUUGAAGGAUCCUUAAGGGAGGAAGGAGGGUCAACUCAUAGAAAAGUCAUCCAAAUGGAAAACCAAAUUGCACACAAGAUGUAUAAUUCUGCUGUUUAAUAGUUAAUACAAUUCAAAACAAAAAACUUAGUUCGAUAAUUAUUAUUAUUAUUUAAUUUAUUAUUUAUUAUUUUUUAAUAUUUCACCACCGGAACACCAUUUAUGUAUGAUUGAUUAAAGUAAGAAAAUGACUUGCUGCUGAGAAAAGAGUUGGAGCUCCUCAAAACCCAAUUAAAAAUCGAGAAGGGUGAUGUUGGUUCAAAUUUUAAUUCUUUAAUUUUUUUUUUUUGAACACGGGUUCAAUGGUUAUUGGGCACUAGUUCAAUUCAACAAGAGUUCAUGCUCCCUUCUUUCAAUAGCCAAUCAUUGUUUUUAGGGUAAAUUACAUAGUAGCCCCUCAGGUUUGAGGUCUAUUACAAUCUCAUACAACAUCUUUAAAACAUUUCACUUUCAUACCUCACGUAUUAUUUUAUUUCAAAAUAGUACCUCCGUUACAUUUUCCAUCCAUUAAUCCGUUAAGUGCUGACGUGGCUACCACAUUUGAGCCACGUGGCUGCCAAAUGUGUGCCACGUGGCAAAAAUAAUAAUUUUAAAAUUAUUUUUUUUAAAACAUGAAUCUUCUAAAAAAAAAACUCAAAAAAAACCCCAUCUCCGUGCACCCCCAACUAGAAACCCAGGAAGCAACCCUUCCCCCCCCCCCCCCAACGAACCAGAAACCCAAAAAGGAAAACCCCACCCCCCCUUCACCCGCCCAUUUGCACCCUUCCACCACCUAUCGCCGGCAACAACUCCAAGGAUGGGUGUCUCCAGCUUUGGCCUUCAGCUCGAAAAUUACCUCAUCGAUUAUCAGACGAGCACGACAUCAAAAGUCUCGCCGCCAAGGUUGAAAAUCAAGAUGUGCUGCUCGCCCUUUCUCGACGCCUUCUUGUCGAGCCGUAGCAAAUCCAAAUCCCUUCACCGCUCAUCCGUCCCUCCCUCACGCACCAAUUGAUUUAGUUGGGUAUUUGAAUUCAAACUGGGUAUUUGAGUUCGAACCUAUAACCAAAAUCCAAUUGGUAUUUUAUUGCGAACCCAAAAUUAAAAAAUUUUGAAAUCCCAAAUCUGCCUAAGAAAGAGAUGGUGGGGAAAAUGGGUUUUUGGAUGGGUUUGCGUUUGAUGCCACGCUGUUGAUUACAGAAAAUGAAUUGAUGGCUAAAGUUGAAAUCUAUUAAAGAUGAUGGGAAGGGGGUGGUUCGAACUUCAUAUUCUUCCUUCUCCCUCCAGAGCCUCCCAACUUCAUAUCAUUCUUCUCCAGCCCACCCUUUCCUUACUCCCUCUCUUCUCUUGGCCUUCGCCCACCCCUCACUCUCAUCUCCGGCGUCUCCACCUCACUCGCAUCUCUCUUCUUCUCUAGGAGCUACUCGACUCCCCUGCUUCCCUUGACCAGCUCCGCCUCUUCGACCUCUGCCCACAUUUUAAUUUGUUUUCAGAUGCAAACCAAACCCAAUAAACCAACAAAAAUACAUCAAUAAGCCCAAGUAAGAAAAGAAAACAUAUGAGAUUUUUCAAUUUUGUGAGAUAGAAGGUUGAGUAGGUCGUCUUGGUUUGUGGAUCUUAAUUUGGUAUAAGCGAAAGAGAGAUGAGAUUUUUGUGCGGGAGAGGAGAAAUGUUGCAGCCGACGACGUGGUGUGGUUAACAGGAUUACACCGGAAGCGAGGAAGAUGAGGGUUGGGCAGAGGUUGAUGUCUGGGCAGCGAGGAAGAUGAGGGACGAGAUUACUCCGGCGUGGUGGUGGUUGAUGGGUCGGUGUAAGACUGGGUUUGGGGAAGGAAGAUGAAGAUUGAAGGAGGGGCUCUUUCUCCUACAGUUGGGUUUUUUAGGGUUUUGGGUGGGGUGGGGGGGGGGAGGCCAAGAGAAGAAAGAUAGUACGGAAAGGGUGGGCUGGAGAAGGAGAAAGAAGGAUAUGAAGUUGGGUGGAGAUGAAGACGAUGACUUUUAAUGGGUUUUUUUUUUUUUAAUAAGGUUAAUAUUAUAAUAUUUUUAAUGUAUAAAAAAUUAUUAUUUUUCCACAUGGCAGCCACAUCAGCACAAAUGUGGCAGCCACAUCAGCAUUUAACAGAUUAGUGGAUGGAAAAUAUAACGGAGGUGUUAUUUUGAAAUAAAAUGGUACUUGAUGUAUGAAAGUGAAAUGUUUUAAAGUUGUUGUAUGGGGUUGUAAUAGACCUUAAACCUGAGGGGCUACUAUGUAAUUUACCCUUGUUUUUAAAGUAAUGUUAAAAGAAGCAUUGGAAAUUUGAAUUCAUUAUACUAAGAUUAAGAGUGGAAGAUUUGGCACAAAACUCAGCGUAGUGAUGUUCUAGUGUUCAUACAGCCGACGCCAUUUAGUAGAAUAAAAUUUUAUUUUUGUUGUUGUUCUUAUUGUUGUAUAAUAAGAUUAAGAGCACCUCGAUCUUAAUCAUGGAUCAACAUUUUGGGAGGAAGGUAUUAAGGGUAUAAAUGUAAAUGCAAAUAUAAAAGAUCAUACUUAGAUAUUGGAUAGUUAGUUCUGUUAGUUAGAAUGUAGUGGUGCUACUUUCAUUGGUUGUUAUACUUGUAUAUAUACAGGUUGUAACUUUAUUUAAAGAAUUAAUGAAAAGAUUAUUUCUCAAUAUGGUAUCAACCGCCUUCUGUCUCACGACCUGAUCCAAACACGCUUCAUCGCCAGCGACCUUUCUUCUUUCCUCUUUCUGAUUGCGAUCGCCAUCUCGAUCUCCCAAACCCUAGCCUUGAGCAUCAAUGGCGGCUCCUGAUUCUUCUUCUGACUCUACUACUCAUGUUCAUCCGCCUCCGUUGAACUCCUCUGUCACUAUCACUCAUUCGGUGGCCUCCUCCAUCAUAAUUCAGAAUAUUGGAUCUAUGGUGCCAAUUAAGCUCAUCACUACCAAUUACCUCACCUGGAGCGCUUUGUUUGCUCCUAUUUUUCACCGCUACAAUCUCACCGGCAUUGUUGAUGGCCCAACACCUCCGCCGCCUCAAAUGUUAUUGGAUGAUUCUGGCAAUCGCACUUCUCUCAUCAAUCCUGAGUAUGUUUCUUGGUAUUAGAGCGAUCAAAACAUUCUCAUCUGGCUCAAUUCUACACUGUCUGAAACCCUAAUUCCUUACACUGUUUGAGUUAAUUCUUGUCUCAAAGUUUGGGCGAAAUUGGAGUCACGAGUGGCUGCUGCUUCUCAAUCUCACAUUCAUGAUCUUCGAUCACGCCUGCGUAACAUUACAAAAUGUGAAUCUACAAUAGCUCAAUUUCUCCAACAAAUUGAGGAAAUUGCAAAUGCUCUUGUGAGUGCUGGAGUUCUGGUGGCUGAUUCUGAGCUCAUUUCUGUCACACUUCAUGGACUGCCAUCAAAGUAUGAUUCUUUGUUGAUGCUGUUUAAUUUCGCAUCGGGUCGACUACCAUUGAUGAAUGGCAUGGCCUUCUUUUGAGCAAAGAAAUUCAGUUGAAUAAUCGCAAGAAAUUGCCUCUCACUGCUUAUUUCCAGGCAUUUAAUUCUUCUACGGGUCUUCUUCCUACACCAUCUAUGGCUCCUCAGGCUUACACUACUCAGGCUCAUUCUUCACAGAAUUUCUCUCAACGUCGUUAUUCUAAUUACUCUCAAAAUCGUGGCAGUUCUUCAAACCCUAGAAAUUUUCAAGGCAAGGGCAAUUUCAGAGGCAAUUUUCAACACAACAAUUAUCGGCCGAAUAAUCAACGUUCUUCUGGUGGUGAUCGUUCUUUCUCUGGCAAACGCAUUCCUUGCCAAAUAUGCCGUCAUUAUGAUCAUGAAGCCUUUGAUUGUCCACAACGCAUGAAUCCCAGCUACACUGGAUCUUCAUCUCACUCUGCUAUGCUUGCUCACACUAGUUCUACUUCAUCUGCUCUAACUUGGCUUGUUGAUUCUGGCACUAGUUCAUGCAUGACCAAUAACUACACCAAUCUGCAAAAUCCUGAGACUUAUCAUGGUCCUGAACAGGUCUACAUUGGUGAUGGCAAAGGUUUGCCCAUUCACCACUCUGGUUCUUCUUUAAAUACUCAUCACCAUUGUUUUCAGUUGAAAAAUGUUCUUUAUGUGCCUGAUUUAAAGCAAAAUUUGUUAUAUGCGAAUCAAUUUCUUCUUGACAACUGGUGUUCCAUGCAUCGUUAUCCUUUUCACUUCACUAUGAAAGAUAUUUCUUCGGGGAAUAUGCUUUUUAGUGGACCAGUUCGUGAUGGCUUCUACCUUUUUCAUGCAUCGUCUCCUGCUGCUGGUUCUCAACACUUGUUUGUUGCUACUACAACGGUUUUUUGGGAUCUUUGGCACAAGAGACUUGGUCAUCCCUCUACCAAAAUUUUAAAUAAAUUGGUCUCUACUUCAUGUAUUUCUACGUCUCGUACUAUGAAUUACACUUUCUGUUCAAAUUGUGCUAUAAGCAAAAGUUCUAAGCUUCCUUUUGCUUCUGGUUCUUGUACUAUAAGCAAGCCAUUAGAGCUUCUUCACAUGGAUGUCUGGGGACUAGCUCCUAUUUCCUCUGUACAUGGUUUUCAAUACUAUGUGAUAAUUGUUGAUGACUAUACAAAGUAUUCUUGGCCUUAUCCUCUGAAGUUCAAGUCUGAUGUUCUUUCUACAUUUGUUCAAUUCAAGUCUCUUAUUGAAAAUAAGUUGGGUGUCAAAAUUAUUUCUAUUCGUUCAGAUUCCGGUGGUGAAUUCUUUAGCUCCAAGUUUUCUCAGUUCUUAAUUGAACAUGGUAUUACACAUUAACUCAGCUGCCCUCACACUCAAGAGCAAAAUGGGUGUGUUGAGCGUAAGCAUAGACACCUUGUUGAAAUUGCCUGUACUCUCUUGACAGUCUCUAAAGUUCCACAUCAAUAUUGGGUUCAUGCAUUCUCCACAGCAAUUUACCUCAUCAACAAAAUGCCUUCUUCCAUAAAUGUAUCUCCAUAGGAAUCCUUAUUCAAGAAAGCUCUAGAGUAUACUUGCUUUCCUUGGCUGAAGCCUUACACUACGUCUAAGUUAGAACCAAAAAGCAAACAUUGUGUUUUCUUCAGGUACAGUUUAAAUCACAAAAGGGUACAAAUGUUUGGAUCCUUUAUCUCACAGAAUCUAUAUUUUUCGGCAUGUCAUAUUUGAUGAGCACAAUUUCCCUUUUCAUAAUUCUUUUCCGUCUUCAUCUUCUCAGCCUAUAUCUUCAUCACCCUUACAUACUAUACCAUCUAAUCUCACAUUUAAUUCCUUUCAUUCUUCCCGGCCAUCAUCACCCCAUACAUCUCCUUCACCACAUACAUCUCAUCCCCCACAUCCAUCUACUUCCCAACACCUACAUACAUCUUCUUUACCAAAUUCAUCUCCCUUACCACAUACAUCUCCUGCACCAACUCCAUCUACUUCCCAACACCUAAAUAUCUCUUCUCCAUCACUGACAUCUCCUCAUUUCAACAUUCAUCCAAUGCAGACUCGUUCCAAGUCUGGCAUCUUUAAACCUAAACCAUUGCUUGCCACUAAACAUACCCUUCCAUCUCAUCUCAGUGUUGACUUUGUUCAUUCCACUUAUCAUUAGGCAUCCAAAUAUUCUCACUAGAGGAAGGAAAUGCAAGAAGAGUUCAAUGUUCUUUUGAACAAUGGUACUUGGUCCUUGGUUCCCUAUUCUCAUUCUUAGAAUUUGGUUGGUUGCAAGUGGGUAUUUCAAAUUAAACGCAAGCCUGAUGGUUCUAUAGAUCUGUAUAAGGCACGAUUGGUUGCAAAGGGGUUUCAUCAACAGGAAGGGUUAGACUACACUGAGACUUUCAGCUUCGUUGUCAAACCUGUCACCAUUCGAAUUUUACUCACUUUGGCUACUUAAUAUGAUUAGUUUCUCAACCAACUUGAUGUCAGCAAUGCUUUUCUGCAUGGUACUCUUACAGAAACUGUGUUCAUGCAACAACCUCUAGGAUUUCAGGAUUCUACACAGCCUAAUUCUGUUUGCAGACUCCAUAAAUCUUUAUGUGGUCUCAAACAAGCUCCUAGAGCUUGGUAUGAUAAACUACAUGGUGCUUUACUCUCAUUGGGAUUCAUUGGCUCAAAAUCUGAUCAUUCCUUGUGUGUUAAGAAAGAUCCUCACUUGGUGUUUAUCCUUGUCUAUGUUGAUGACAUUCUUGUCACAGGCCCUUCUCCUCAAGCCUGCAAGCAUGUUAUUGAUCAAAUCAGUGCUCUCUUUCCUAUCAAUGAUCUUGGUCAUUUGCAUUACUUUCUUGGCAUUGAAGUUAAGCGAUCCUCCAAGGGUAUUUUCAUUUCUCAGCCUAAAUACAUCUUGGAUCUGUUGAACAAGGCCAAAAUGGAUGAUGCCAAACCCUAUGUUACUCCCCGUAAUACAUCAAAACUUGAUCACUCUUCUCCUCUCUUGGAUGAUCCUACGGAAUAUAAAUCCUUUGUUGGAGCCCUUCAAUAUCUCACAUGGACUUGGCUCGAUCUCUCUUUUGCAGUGAACCUUGUUUGCCAAUUUAUGCAUUGUCCUCGACUUUCUCAUCUUCAAGCUGUCAAACGCAUUCCAAGGUAUCUCAAAGGUUCCAUUGAGUGUGGUCUCUGGUUUUUUAAAAGUUUAUCACCACCAGGUAUUACUGCUUAUUCCGAUACUGAUUGGGCAGGCUGUUCUAUUGAUCGAAGAUCAACUCGUGGUUUUUGUAUUUUUCUGGGUAAUUCUAUCGUCAGUUGGAGUGCUAAGAAGCAAUCCACCGUGGCACGGUCAUCUACAGAGGCUGAAUAUCGAUCUUUGGCUAACACUGCUGCAGAAUUAACUUGGGUUUGCAAGCUUCUUGGUGAUAUUGGUUUUAAAUUUCCCUAUUUACCAAAGUUGUGGUGUGACAAUAUAUCAGCUAUCUCUCUUGCCAAGAAUCCCAUUUUCCAUGCUCGUACUAAGCAUGUUGAAUUGGACUAUCACUACAUAUGGGAAAAAGUUUUGGCUCAUGCAAUUUCUCUGCAUUUUGUUUGUUCACAGGAUCAAGUAGCUGAUAUUUGUACAAAGGCUCUGUCCAAAUCUCGUUUUCUGUUUCUUAGGUCCAAACUUGCUCUUCGGCAACCUCAGAUCAGUUUGAAGGAGGAUAUUGAGGGUAUAAAUGUAAAUGCAAAUAUAAAAGAUCCUACUUAGAUAUUGGAUAAAUAUUGGAUAGUUAGUUCUGUUAGUUAGAAUAUAGUGGUGCUAUUGUAGUGGUGCUACUUUCAUUGGUUGUUAUACUUGUAUAUAUACAGGUUGUAACUUUAUUUAAAGAAUUAAUGAAAAGAUUAUUUCUCAAUAGAGGGAUCUUGCAUGGGCUUAUAAGAGGUUGGAUUACUCCUUAUAUUGCUAGUUGGUUUUAUGGUGGCACCCCAACUUUCUUCAUGGUAUCAGAGUAGGUUGUCUCAUGUGUGAAGCUUGACGGCUACACGUGCUCCACUUCACCUAAAUUGUAUUGUCCACGUGUUAGGCUUGAAAAUUAGUCACAUGUGAGGGGACGUGUUGAGAAUGAAUCCUACAUUAAUGAGAGGAUGGACCUUGCAUGUGAUGAAACCUCAAGUUUCUUCACUACAUUCAGAAUGCAAUGAUUUCAGCAUAAAUAAAAUCUGAAAAUAAAGUCUGGUUAAGAACCUCAGAUCUGCGGCCUUAACUGAACCAUAUCGAUCACUCUAUCUUUUACCACCCUUCAAUAUCCUGAGGAUGACCGUAAAUGCCUUUUACUAUCUUUCCCACCUCUGCAAUUCUCGACAAGACUGAGACUUGGAAGGGUCUGUCAAUAAUCAACCGAUCUCUCGAGUAAUCCAAUACAAUCUUCUCCUCUUUAUUCAUGAUCGCACUGCAACAAAUUCAAAGACACAUUAUAUGGGAAAGAGCAUGGGGCAACAGAGAUGUAAACACACUAAGCGGUUGGAAUCGAUCAUGGGUUCUAUGUAGAAUGCAAAAUGCAUUUCAACUUCUUGUCGAAACCAUGGAUGGAAAUCUAACACUCUAAGGUGAAAAGUGUUAUUGUCUUUGGCUUGUUGCUUGUGGCAGGGUGAACACAUUUGACAUGGUUCAUUGAGGACGCAGUUACUACGCCUCGUCGCCACAAUGGUGUAUCAUAUGUAAGUCAAAUUUCGAAUCAGUUGUUCACACAUUCCUUCACUGCUCGGUAACUUUGGGUAUUUGGUCGAAAUUGAUUAAGGAGAUGAGCUUUACCAUGGUAGUUCCAAGGGAAUAUUUCUGGAAUAUCUUACAGAUAACAUCGAAACAUGAAUGUUAUGUCCCGGGUUCGAUGCUUCGAGUUGGUGAGUCUGUUAGACUGUGGUCACGGGUAGGGUAAAAUUCCCUAUAGCUUCUUUAGGCUCGGAAGAGAUGGAUAACCGUAGUUUGCCACUAAUUGUCCAUUUUUUUGAAAAAAAAAAUGAAUGUUAUGUAAUUAAUGAUGUAAACGCUUUCCUAAACCAUCAUGGGUAUCUUGUAAAUAGAUGAAACUCGAUUUACUAAGGAGAGUCUAAUUUUGGCCAAAUAUUUAGAAACAUGAAUGUUAUGCUAACUAAUGAUGUCCUAUGUUUUCCAGGAACAUCAUGGGCAACCCGAGUUAUAUGGCCAUUGUUGAUGGAAUUGAACAAGUGAUGACAUACCCGACCCAAUAGCCAUCAGAGGUUGUAAAUGAUAUAGGAUCAAUUGGGGUUGAUAUGCUUUUUUUUUUAAAUUAAAAAAAAAACUGUUAUUGAUGUGCUUUAAGAAAAAUCGGCUAUAAUAUAAAGCAGUUGAGCGUUUGGUAAACUAUGUUUUUCAAAGUGUUGUGACUAAGAAAAACAAUGUAAAAGCGUUUGGUAAAAUUUAUUUUUUAUUUUUGAAGUGAUAUAACUGUAUAUGAUGACAAAAAUGGACAUGGUAGGGGAGUUGGCAACGACAGCAGUUGUGACGAUUGUGGUGGUGGUGGCAGCAGGGUGACGAUUAUUGUGGUGGUGGAAAUAAUGGCAGUGAUGGUGUAAGGUUAGUGUUUGUAGUGGUAGGUGGCGACAAUCACUUUGUUGUCUAAUGGAUAAAAUGUGUAACAUGAUAAAUAAUGUUAUUUUAAAAAAUUAAUGAUGGUUUUACACGAAUUGAAAAUAUUCAAUAAAGGUUCAACUCCAUUUUUUAAUAAAGUAGCUUUUAAAAGCAGUUUGGAGCCAAUAACUUUUAAGAUAAGCAUGAUAUUUAACUUUUGCCAAACAUUUUUUAUUGCUUCAGUUUAAAAUGAAGCAGUUUUUGGUGAAAACAAUAAUACCAAACAAGGGCUUAUUCUUCCUUGUGGCCUUAUGACUUUAUUUAUACUAAUCAAAUGGGAUUUAACUUGCCCUACAAGUAAAGUCAUAAAGAGAUUUAAUCUCCCAAAUGUUGUUGGAUUCGAUUUCUAAAUUUACACAAUUAUAUUCUUAAACAAUAAUAACUACAACAAUAUUUCUAUUUAUUUUUUUAUAAAUAUUUAUUAUUAUUACGAAGCAGGAAAUAUUCAAAACUAUUACAAUAGUUUAGGGGAGAAAGAGUAUCAAACGCGGAAUGCAUGGAUAUAAACUCACACCCUUUCGACUAAAACAUUGGACCAUGUUGAUGCACAAAACCGAAGGUCUUGGAACAACAUAAACCGACCUUGAAUAUGCAAGAAAUGUAAAUAACACAAGAUGUAUCGUGGUUCACCCCAAGGUUUGAGCUAUGUCCACACUGAUAUUGUAUUUCUCUGAGAGUAUUGUGAAGGAGAGGGAGCUCUGAAUAAGAGUCAAAGCUUUGAGAUGAUGAGGGGUUAGGCCUAAGAAUUGGCCUCUGAGGGUGAGAGUGAGGCCCUCCCUAAUUAUGAGGGUAAGGGGUCCUUUUAUAGAAUAAAGGCUCCUCACUUAUUACAUAUUUGCCCAUUCCUUUAUUACAUAAUUAUAUUUGAGUCCUCCGAGUAUUUAUACGAGAUCUAAAUACGGAUGCCCUAAGUAUGGUAUAAGCAGUAGUCCCCCAAGUCUUCAGUCAAGAGAGUCUUUUAGCUGGAGACUUGAAAUUCAGUCCAUGUGUGGGCCAAAGUAACUAGAUGUUAUCUAGAACUGAUACUCGAUAUGAGGCGUUGCCCAAUCUGAAAUGAUGCUCAACUAGAAGUAGCACAUGCUGCGAGGCUGCUUGGCCCGUGGCUUAUGUUACCUUGGUUGGCUCGGCUUGUAACGUUGAAUGUGAGGGAGUCCCUUUUAUAGAAUAAGGGUUCGCUCCUCAAUACAUAAAUAUGGGCUAGAGUUGGUGCUCACGGCGAGGCGGUUGCUCAGUAGGCGGCAAUGCACUGUAAUGAGGCGGUGCCCAAUCUGAAAUGAUGCUCAACUAGAAGUAGCACAUGCUGCGAGGCUGCUUGGCUCGUGGCUUAUGUUGCCUUGGUUGGCUCGGCUUGUAACGUUGAAGGUAAGGGAGUCCCUUUUAUAGAAUAAGGGUUCGCUCCUCAAUACAUAAAUAUGGGCUAGAGUUGGUGCUCGCGGUGAGGCGGUUGCUCAGUAGGCGGCGAUGCACUUUAAUGAAAGUAAGGGAGUCCCUUUUAUAGAAUAAGGGUUCGCUCCUCAAUACAUGAAUGAUGGGUGCUCUCUAAUGACAGUGAGGGAGUCCCUUUUAUAGAAUAAGGGUUUGCUCCUUAAUACAUAAAUAAUGGGCUAAGUCCCCCACGUAUUUUUCAUGAGGCCCAGUUGAGGUCCAAUAUAUGGUGUAUAGUGUAGUCCCCCAAGUCUUCGGUCAAUAGAGUCUGUUGGCUGGAGACUUCAAAUUGAAUCCAUGUGUGGGCCGAAGUGGCGAUUGUUUGGAGGCGGUAUUUGUAUACCCUGCACUGAAGCUUUGUAGGUGAAGCUUUGCAAGUGAAGCUUUAAAGCUGGAGCUCUGUAAAUGAAGAUUUUGAAGCUAGAGCUUUUGUAAAUGAAGCUUUUGAAGCUAGAGCUCUGUAAAUGAAGCUUUUGAAGCUAGAGCUUUUGUAAAUGAAGCUUUUGAAGCUGAUUGACAUGAGUGAUGCUCAUGAAUGUUUACGUUGAUUGACUUGAGUGAUGCUCAUGGAUGUUGAUAUGAGUGAUACUCAUGAAUGUUAACAUGAGUGAUGCUCAUGAAUGUUAACAUGAGUGAUGCUCAUGAAUGUUUAUGUAUGAUUGAUAUAAGUAAUGCUCAUGAAUGUUUAUGUAUGAUUGAUAUGAGUAAUGCUCAUGUAUAAUUUGAAGUAUUAGGCGUACUUUUGAUCACCUAGUGGGUGAUAAUAGCGGCAGGUUGCCAAAUAAUUUUGGAGUACUGAGCGUACUUUUGAUCACCUGGUUGGUGAUAAUAGCAGCAUGUUGCCGAAUAAUUUUGGAGUACUGGGCGUAUUUUUGAUCACCUGGUUGGUGGUAAUAGCGGCAGGUUGCCGAAUAAUUUUUUGUAAUACUGGGCAUACUUUUGGUCACCUGGUUGGUGAUAAUAGCCGCAAGGUGCCGAAUAAUUUUUGUAGUACUGGACGUACUUUUGGUCACCUGGUUGGUGCUAUUUUUGGCUUAUAGGCCUUCACCCUCCACAUAACAUUCCAACCCAUUAUUUUGGGCUUAACGUUUUUUUUUAUUGAUUACCCUCUGAUAGGGUUUAUACAAAUGUCUUCAAAAGAUAAGAAAAAUAAAUCACACCAUACAUUUUCCAAGAAAAGUAAAUCACAUCAUUUUGGUGAGGUGUUUAUUCCUUGCUUUUGCUUUCUAUUUUGCUUUCUCUUUUCCCUUUUGGCAGAUGGUAGACAACGCUUUCGUAUUGGUUAAGGAAGUGCACAAGUAAUUCAAUGCUCAGCAUAGAAUCCAAAAAGAUCAGAUCCCAUACCAGUUAUCUCUCCAUCAUUGUCUCCGACAUUAUCAGCUAUCACAGCUGGGUUUCUUGGAACAUCCUUGGGAAUAUUUCUUUCAACCUUGCCGACAAGAUCUGCACCGACAUAAGCAACUUUGGUAUAUAUGCCUCUUCCUUUUUCUUUUUCUGCUGUUUGAACACAAGUUGGUGUACUCUAGCUAUAAAAAAACCCCAUCAGAGUGCUUUUCUUUCUUUCUUUGUCUUUGCAUGCGUCAGGCGCCAAACCUACAUCGAGAUCAACGCUCCCUUGCUGUUGCAUAGACUGACCAAAUCCUCACAAAAUCGGAAGUUAAAACUUUGGGCUUUUUCUCAGUUCAGUCCCAGACCGGUAUGCUUUUCAUAGUAUGGUACAAACAACCAAAGUUAUAUGUCAACCAGUAAUCCAGCUUAGUUGAUCUUGGGCCAUCUCCAAAAGAAGCGAGAUAAUGCUGGAUAUUUCCAUUAACACCAAUCGCAGUCCUCCGUUUUCAAACAGCAACCUGGCAAUCUCUUGAUCCACUAGCCAGCUUACCCGACCCGCUAUUGGAAGAGACCGAAACCGCCACACCACGGCACAAAACCCUCAGCAGUCGCUGCCUCAGCCUCCACCAACCAUUCUGAAACUGGACCCUCGCCAAAACCUUUACGUUAAAGCUCACGGUCCUGCAUCCCUUGUCCACCUCUAUCCCGCGAACCAUCCGGGCAUCCCCGAACGAAUUCACCGCUGACAAAGUGGCGUUGACAAGAUUGCGAUCCUUCCUUCCCUGAGCGAACGGCUGAACACGAGUCUCUGAUAUGAAGCUGUUCUGGUAGAAAAUGGAAGAAAUGACCUCCUCGUAUCGAAAGCUGAGCUUCUUGUUAGGGUUGUAGAAGGAGAAGCCGACGGACCACUUGUCGCUCAGGGAUCAGGGGGAGGAGGAGACGUUGAAGUUGGUGAGUGAGAGAGAGUCGAGUCAGAAGUCGGGGACCUUGGGGCGAAGGACAAGCCAAAUCACGAGCAUGAUGCAGCCGACGACGACGAAGAGGGCUGGAGUAGGGACCUUGAGCUUGGGUGUAGGUGGGGUAGCUGGAGUAGGGGUGGCCGUUCAUGGCUGAGGCGAAGGAGAUGGAUCGCCCGUUUGGGUAGAAGUCAGGAACGCCGCUGCUUCUUCCACCGUUGUACCCGCCCGAUUGCAUUUUUGUUUCCUGUCUGGGUUUCUGAGAGCGAGGAAGAGAAAAAAGGCUAAAAGUGGUGGGUUUUGAAGAAACGCAUGGAAGGAGAAGAAGAUACCGUUUCGGUUUCUUUCUCUCUCUUCUCUCUUCUCUCUCUCUGUGUAUUGUUUCUCUUUCUAGAAAGUAGAGAGAUGGUGGAGUUUUGGAAGUUACCUUGAUGUGGUGGAGGAACAAAGGAUGGGCACUGAGGUUUUAAGCUCUUGGGUUUUUUUUUUUUUUUUGCAGAUUUUGUCGAUUUUGUAGAUUUUGCCGAUUUUGCAUAUUCACGGCGGAGGUAAAAAAAUGAAAGAGAACCGACACAACUUUUCGUAUCGUUUCUCACAGACGGCACCAAAUGUUGAUGCACAAAAUCGGAGGUGUUGGAACAACGUAAAUCUGACCGUGAAUCUGCAAGAAAUGUAAAUAACACAAGAUGUAUCGUGGUUCAUCCCAAGGUUUGGGCUACAUCCACACUGAUAUUGUAUUUCUCUGAGAGUAUUGUGAAGGAGAGGGAGCUCUGAAUGAGAGUCAGAGCUUUGAGAGGAUGAGGGGUUAGGCCUAAGAAUUGGCCUCUGAGGGUGAGAAUGAGGCCCUCCCUAAUUGUGAGGGUGAGAGGUCCUUUUAUAGAAUAAGGGCUCCUCACUUAUUACAUAUUUACCCCUUCCUUUAUUACAUAAUUACAUUUGAGUCCUCCGAAUAUUUAUAUGAGAUCUAAAUAUGAAGGCCCUAAGUAUGGUAUAAACAGACCACAUGCAAUAUUUUCUAUUUUCUCUAGGAAGAAUAGUAUAAAUGUCUAUGUCAUAGGUAGGAAAGGGAGAUAGUUUUCAGUGUGUCAAAAAUACAGGACAUACCAAACUGUCAUAAUACAAUUAAUACAUUAAAAAUUUCCCUAGAAAGGGGACGCUCAUAAGAGCAUUGGAAUAUUUGUGAUGCCAAAUCCAUUGUGCUCUUUUGUAUUUUUGUAUUUUUUUGGGGGUAAAAUUGGCAUCCAAUGUGUGUACUCUUUAAAUUGUUUUUUCUUCCAGUCUUUUCCCCUUUUCAUAGUAUUUUUAUUUAUUGAACAAAAAGUCUUUUAUUUGUAUUAUUAUUGUAUUCUUGAGCUACUGAAAAGUGUUUGUUUUUUCUUUCCAUGCUUUCCAUUUCGUUUGGGCCACAAACUGCUGUGCAUUGAGGAACUCUCUCUCUCUCUCUCUCUCUCUCUCUCACUCUCUCUCUCUCCACACACACACAUGUUGUCUCAGUCUUUGGAAGAAUUUGUCAAUCAUAAGAAAGAAAUGCAUUCUAGAAAAGUUAACCUUUUUAAUAAUUUAGAAUUAACCUAGUUGUUAGAGUAAUGUUCUUCUUUAAGCAUUCAAGUUCAAAACCCUGUGGUGAAUUAUUAUUAUUAUUUUUUAACAAACGAUGGUAAAAAACAAAAACUCUUUCUUUAUUAAGAAAACAAAUAUUAGUUGUUUGAGCAAAAGUGCAUAAUAACAUUUUUAAAAUGCCAAUAAUCAGGUUAAUUGAUCAUUUAGUUUAGAAUCAAACUGAAACAUUUUUGAAAUGCCAAUAAUCAAGCUAAUCGAUAAUUUAGUUUACAAUCAAACUGAAAGUCUAUGUGUGGUAAUUUAGUUUGACAGAAUAAUUUGGCAUCAAUCUCGCCAUUUACGAAAGUAAAACUUAUAAACUUUUACUCAUAGUCAUAAAAAGUUACCUUUAAAUCGUAAUACUAAGCAACAAACAUGAUCCUAAACUUUGGUUAUGACCAAAUCAAUGUUCACCCACCCAUAAGUUUAAAACAUGAAGCCACACUAUGACUUAUUCCCUUUCAAGUUGAUGGAUGCAGCCAAACAAACUUUGGACUCUCUAUUGCAUCACCAAAUAUUUCCUACAAACCCCACCACUGAUUGUGGAAAGCAAAUUGUUCUGUAGACGAGAAAAAUCAGCUGUAAAAUACUACUACAACAAUAACAACAAAGUCUUAUCGCAUUAAACAAUGUUGGCUAUAUGAAUCCAAGUCUUUCAUUAGCUCAGAAAAUCAUCUAUAAAAUAAAAAAAUAAAAUUUAGUGGUAGUGCAAAUUGUUCUCCAACUUGAAGUAUAAAGCUCCCCUUUAUCCGCAUAGCUUCAUCUUUGUUUCCCUGCUCCAAUCGUUCAUCUGUACUCCUUUGAAUAGUGGGGUGAUCAUCAUACGUACCUCAAGUCCUCGGGUGAUCGAUCCUCAUCUCAUGAGGCAUGACUCAGUCCUGCCUCAUACUCCACAUCACUACGAAAAUAAGCAUAUGGGAUAGUGUUGGAAGAAUGCAUGCAAGUCAUAUCUUGUGUUAAAAUGCAUGCAUGAAAUAAACAUGUUGGAUGACUUUGUUGGAUGACUAGUGAAGUUAGGCUAUUCAACAUUCUUUGUGUAAAUUAGGCAAGUUAGGCAAGUUAGGAAAUUAGGCAAGUUAGGCAAGUAAGGCAAGUUAGGCUUAUGUCUACUUUCUUUUCCUAUAUAUAUGUUUCAUUUGUAAUUGUUUCUUCAUGAAAUACACAUCAAAAAUUCUACAUGGUAUCAGAGCAGGUUCAUUUGUAACAUGUCUCUGCCAUUCUUGCUGCUGCAAUUUUUUCUUUCUUUCAAAGUCUAAGUCAUGACUGAAGAAAGUUCUGUGAACCAUGAUGACGAAACCCGGCACAAUCUCUCUCCAAACUUCUCAGACGUUGAGGUUAACACCAAUCAACGUUUGUGUUCAGUUCUCUUGAACGAGUUCAAUUAUCUUCCUUGGUCCCGAGCUGUUUCACUAGCUCUCGGAGGCAAAGGGAAGUUAGGGUUUGUAAAUGGAAGCGUGGAAGCUCCAGACAGUUCUUCCUCUACAUACAAUGCAUAGCUCUGCAAAGAUCAACUUGUCAUGUCCUUGCUGCUCAACACCAUGGAGAAACAUGUUGCUGAAAUUUUUAGCUACUCCAAUUCCGCACAUGAUCUUUGGAAAGCUUUGCAGGAUAUGUAUGGAAAUCAAAACAACUAUGCACGGGUCUUCCAAUUAAAGAAUGACAUUGCCAGUGCUCAACAAGAAGGGAAAGCAUUUGUUCAACACCUUGGGAGCCUCAAAGCCAUGUGGAAUGAGUUGGAUGUAUAUCUCCAUCAUACCACAGAUCCUACCAUUCUCCUAAAACGAGCUGAGGAAGACAAAAUUUAUCAGCUGUUAGGGAGUUUGAGCUCUGAGUACGAGGACCUAAGGAGUCACAUCUUGAUGAGUCAAGACCUGCCUACCUUCAACAAUGUUUGUGCAACUAUCCAACGAGAAGAAGCAAGGAAGAAGGUUAUGAAUGUUGAUCACAAUCCUAGAUUAACGGAGACUCGGGCAUAUGCAUCAAAGUACAAGAACUCAGAAGCCAAGGUAUACAAGGGAAGAAACACACAUCUAAAAUGCAAAUAUUGCAAUGGUGUUGGUCAUGAGGAAGACAAGUGUUGGGAACUUCAUCCUGAACUCAAGCCUAAGUUCAGCAAAGAUGGAAGGAUGAUACCAAGGUCCUCACAACAAUUUCAACCUCAUUUCAAGGCACAACUUGCUAAUGCUCACGCUCCUACUAUCUCACAAGGAUCCAUGGAGUUCACUGCCAAUCCAUUGUCAUUGAUCAAUGAAUUUGCAGCUUACCUACAAAGUAAGGGGCACGGAGGAGGCUCACAUGGUCAAGGCAAUGAAGAGGGUAGUCACACAGCUAUGUUGGGACAAUUUGCCGGAUUUCUUGCUGGAAAUGAGAAAGUUCCAAAGGGAGAAGCAUCAGGGUAUACUCAAAGCCUUUACUACUGCCCUAUUAACUAGUACUGAAAUUGAUUGUUGGAUAAUUGAUUCAGGCGCCACAGAUCAUAUGACAAACAAAGUUACAAAUUUUACAUCAUUUUAAAAAAAUUUCAAGCCCCUCACAUGUGUCUGUUGCAAAUGGAAAAAAUGUCUUAGUUUUGGGAAAAGGAGAAAUAAACUUACUCUCUCAAAAAACACCUUCCACUGCCCUCUAUGUACCAACCUUUCCCUUCCAACUUUUGUCAAUUGGAAAGAUCACCAACACCCUAAACUGCCGUGCUAUUUUCUCACCAAAUAAAGUAAUGUUUCAGGAUGUUCUCACCAUGAAGAUGAUUGGUGAAGGGGUCUUCAUAAAUGGACUUUACUACCUAUGCAAGAAUGCAUGUUUCACUCAGGCUCUUCAAGCUCAAUCGAAGUCCAUAGAUGAAAACCAACUUUGGCAUAGGAGAUUAGCUCACCCCUCUGAACUUGUCUUGUCGAAACUGUUUCCAAAUUUUUGUAACCCCUAUCCUACUUGUGAUACUUGUCAAUUUUCUAAGUUUACUAGGCUACCUUUUGGUAAUUCAAUGCUUAGGACAAGUAAACCUUUUGAAAUGGUACACACCGAUGUAUGGGGACCUGCAACUGAAUCAAUGGAAGGUUUUAAAUAUUUUGUUCUAUUUGUUGAUGAUUUCUCUCGAACAAGUUUUCUAUAUCUUAUGAAAUCAAAAAGUGAAGUCCCUACCAUUUUCAAAGACUUUCACAUGCAUGUUAAAACGCAAUUUCAAUCAAACAUUAAGGUUUUAAGGUCAGAUAAUGGCACUGAAUUUCUAUCCAACAACAUGUUUCAAUACAUAAGUUCUCAGGGUAUCAUACAUCAAACCAGCUGUGUGGGGACUCCUCAACAAAAUGGAGUAGCCGAGAGGAAAAAUAGAGAUCUCUUGGAAAAAACUCGUGCUCUCAUGAUUCACAUGCACGUUCCAAAGAAAUUUUGGUCGUUUGCCAUCCUUACUGCCACUUAUCUCAUCAAUCGACUUCCAAGUCGUGUGCUAGGGUUUAAAUCUCCCUAUGAAGUUCUCAAUGGGAGGAAAAUAGAUUUGACACAUCUCAAGGUGUUUGGUUGUGUGUGUUUUGUUCACAUCCAAACCUUGAACCGUGACAAACUAGAUGCUAGGGCAACCAAGUGUGUGUUUAUGGGAUAUUUAUGGGAUACUCGACCACUCAAAAGGGAUACAAGUGCUUCAAUCCAGUCACUAAGAAGUGCACAGUUUCAAGAGAUGUGAAGUUCGAAGAAGACUAUCCCUAUUUUACAAGUCAGGGGGAGGAUUUAGUUGACAUGUUCCCACUCCCUCAAAACUUUAAUUAUCCGAUGUUGGAAAAGAGAUCAGUCAUUGUAAGUCCAGAUUGUGAAGAAGUUCAAACUGACCAAAUUACUGCCAGUGAGAGUGAAGACGAGCCCUACUCUGAUCCUUCUCCGCCCUCUACAGAGUCUCAGGUGAUUAAAAGAAAUCCUCCUCGAAUCAGAAAACCUCCAGCUAGGUUGCAGGACUAUGUUACAUAUGCCUCACGACAUCCAAUUAAUGAAUGUAUCAGCUUUAGUAAGUUCUCAACAUCUCAUGCUGCAUUUCUCAGUGAAAUUGAUAAGCACUAUGAACCAAGAAGCUUUCAAGAAGCUUCUCUUCUCCCACAAUGGAACCAAGCCAUGAAAGAAGAGAUUCGUGCACUGGAAGAGAAUUGCACCUGGAGCCUAGUUCAACUACCACCAGGAAAAAAGGCUGUUGGAAGUCGUCGUUGGAUUUACAAGACUAAAUUCAAAGCUGAUGGAUCUAUCGAGAGACACAAGGCUAGACUUGUUGCUCGAGGUUUCACCCAAACCUUUGGUGUAGAUUAUAAGGAAACAUUCGCACCGGUGGCCAAGAUGAACUCAGUCAGGGUUUUACUGUCAGUUGCAAUCAAUUGUGGAUGGUCACUCUACCAAAUGGACGUGAAGAAUGCUUUCCUUCACGGCGAGCUGCAGGAAGAAGUGUAUAUGCAACCUCCUCCAGGCUAUGAUGGUAUUAAAGGCAACAUGGUUUGUAAAUUGCACAAGGCAAUAUACGGAUUGAAACAAUCACCAAGAGCUUGGUAUGCCAAGCUCAACUCUGUUCUGGAAAAGGCUAGAUUCAUGCGAAGUAAUGCUGAUUCUUCGUUAUUUGUAAGAACUGGCACCAGGGGGAAGUUGGUGGUCCUCGUCUAUGUUGAUGAUCUUAUCAUCACUGGAGAUAAUACCGUGGAGAUUGAGGCACUAAAACUCUCACUACAUCAAGCUUUCGCUAUCAAAGAUUUGGGGAGGUUAAAGUAUUUUUUGGGGAUCGAAAUGGCAACAUCUUCAAAAGGACUGUUUCUACAUCAACGGAAAUAUGUAUUGGACCUCCUUCAAGAAGCAAAAAUGCUUGACUGCAAGCCUGCUAUCACUCCCGUUGAUUGUAAACUGAAGCUCAGCAUAGAUGGAGAAGCCAUGCAUGAUGUAAGCUACUAUCAACGAUUAGUAGGCAAGCUCAUAUACCUCACUAUCACUCGUCCAGAUAUCACAUAUGCAGUGAGCUUGGCUAGUCAGUUCAUGCACUCUCCCACUGUUGAUCACCUUAACCUUGUUAAGAGAAUCCUUCGUUAUCUUAAGGGUUCAAUUGGGCAAGGAAUUACAAUGCAUAACAAUCAGUCCACUGUCAUUAGUGGCUACACAGAUGCAGACUGGGCAGGUAAUGCAAUUGAUAGGAAAUCAAUCACAGGCUAUUGUACAUUUGUUGGUGGAAACCUUGUCACAUGGAAGAGUAAGAAGCAACAGGUAAUUGCUCGUUCCAGCGCAGAGGCUGAGUAUCGAGCCAUGGCAGCCACUGCGUGUGAACUCAUUUGGCUUAAAGGGCUUCUUUCAGACUUAGGGUUUCCUAGUUCUACUCCUAUGACGCUUAUGUGUGAUAAUCAGGUAGCCAUGCACAUUGCUGCCAAUCCCGUGUUCCAUGAAAGAACCAAACAUAUUGAAGUGGAUUGUCAUUUCAUCAGAGCUCAAGUUCAAACGCAAAUCAUCCGGACCAUGUUCACACGAAGCCAUGAUCAACUAGCAGAUCUUUUUACAAAGGCACUAGCAUCAUCUCAGUUUCAUCGGUUAUUGGGCAAGCUUGGCUCAGUGAAUCCCCUCGAUCCAGCUUGAGGGGGAGUGUUGGAAGAAUGCAUGCAAGUCAUAUCUUGUGUUAAAAUGCAUGCAUGAAAUAAACAUGUUGGAUGACUUUGUUGGAUGACUAGUGAAGUUAGGCUAGUCAACAUUCUUUUUGUAAAUUAGGCAAGUUAGGCAAGUUAGGCAAGUUAGGCUUAUGUCUACUUUCUUUUCCUAUAUAUAUGUUUCAUUUGUAAUUGUUUCUUCAUGAAAUACACAUCAAAAAUUCUACAGAUAGACUCGAACUCAAUCACAUUUUCGUUGAUCAACUCAAGAUCCCACACGAGUUGUACCCCUGUUUUCUUCAUCCUAAAACCAGAUCCUAUCACAAUAUAAACUUCAAUGGAGUCUCCCCUUUCCAAACUGUGCUCCUUGUUUGAUAAAUGUCCUUGCCAAAUGACUUCAUAGAGAUAAACGUGUCAGGUUCUUCAAUUGUGCUAUGGAAGAAUAUGGUACUUCUUCUAUGGCCGUGUUAUCUAUAAGAAGAGUUGUCAAUGAUACCAUCUCUCCUAUAUCCAAAACCAAUUUUCGAAAUCUUGAACAGCCAGAAAGCACAAGAGUUUCAACGUGUUUCAACUUAUAGAAACUCUUCGGAAGAUCAUUGAGCUUUAUGCAGCCUUUGAGAUUCACCAAAGCAAGUCUUUCUAGACAUCCUAUGGAAUGGUGAAUCUUGAGCAAGCUCUUACAGUACUUGAGUAUCAAAUACUCAAGAUUUGGGAGUUUUGAGAAGUUUGGCGAUU
rnacentral:lncRNA from 1 species